rnacentral:rRNA from 1 species
AUUGAACGCUGGCGGCAGGCCUAACACAUGCAAGUCGAGCGAGCGGCGGACGGGUGAGUAAUGUAUGGGGAUCUGCCUGAUGGAGGGGGAUAACUACUGGAAACGGUGGCUACUACCGCAUACCAUCAGAUGAACCCAUAUGGGAUGAGCUUGUAGGUGAGGUAACGGUUCACCAAGGCGACGAUCCCUAGCUGGUCUGAGAGGAUGAUCAGCCACACUGGGACUGAGACACGGCCCAGACUCCUACGGGAGGCAGCAGUGGGGAAUCUUGCGCAAUGGGCGCAAGCCUGAUGCAGCCAUGCCGCGUGUGUGAAGAAGGCCUUCGGGUUGUAAAGUACUUUUGUUAGGGAGGCGUUACCGACAGAAGAAGCCCCGGCUAACUCCGUGCCAGCAGCCGCGGUAAUUC